ensembl:lncRNA
CCAUUUUUAAUUUGCCUUGAUGCGGUGAAGUUUUGGCCAGCGUAUGUGGAUGUGGAACACAGUUUGUCUUUUUAUUUGUUUGCAAUGCACACUGUUAUCCACUCGCUUCAAACAACCACAAUUUUCAGUAUCGUUAUUGCCCUCGUCUUCUUAAGCGCCGUCUUAUCAUCAGCCCUGAUUUGGAACCAAAAGAUGGCUGCUGCCCAGAAGCAUCUGCUGCAUGUGUAUGUUGCACGAGACACCGCCCUGAAACUUACUCUACUCGAGCGACCAAAGUCAGUGGAAGAGCUGAAAGAAAUAAUGCAAGAGAGGUUCAAGCGGAGACUGGAUGGGGACUUUAGCCUGCACUAUGAGGAUCCGGACUUUGAUGGUGAUCUUUGUGUUCUUGUGAACAUCCAGGAGUUACCAGAGAAGGGCACAUUGAGAGUCAUCAGACCUAAAGGUGACACCUCAUCUACUGCAUCUUCUGACACAGACAUACUCCCACAUGUACCUGCGAUGCAGCGCCAGAGGAGUUAGCCUGAUCACUUUGUUGUUCCUAGUUUUGGUUAUGAAAUGGAGCAUAUACUAGAAGAAGGAAAUCAUGUUUAUGGGUUAGGGUUAGGGUUAUUUAUUUGUUAAACUGAGUAUUAAGGAAGGCGCUCCCCCUCCCCACUCUUUGCAUAUGUCACCAUUUACCUCUUCUACCUCAGAUAUAAUACAUUGGUUGCUAAUACAUAAAUAUCACAACAUUGAUAUAUUGCCUAGCACAAGUUUAUGCACUGAAUAAUUUGUGGGGAAAGUCUGUGAAAUUCAUGCACUUAAAAUGUUUAAUGUUCUGUUGCCAAAUGCCUACCUUGAUGUUGCCAGUUGAAGUAUGGCACAGUAGAAACAAGUACUUUUUUGACUUGUUUUAUUUUUUGAAAAGUGAUAUGCAGCCUUCAAGGUAAAGUAAGUGCCAAAAUGUUUUUAACAGUGUUACAAUUCUCCUCAUUCUAAUAGUUGUCAUUGCUGUUGAGGAUGGAUUAUACUUAUAAUCUUAUUGAAUUUUAUCCUGAAUCCUUAAUGAGUUUUUAUCAUCUUUACUUGUGAGAUGGAGAGCCAAAAUACUGAAUCUACCCUCUGUAGCAAUGGCCACUAUCAGAAUAUGGAACUAUUAACACCUACUGUACUUUAAAACACAUCUUUCUUUUUUUUUUUUAACUGGAGUCAUUUCCUUUUAUUUUGUUUGAAUUUAUGACAAGCACUUUGUUUUGACUGAGCUCCUUUGAUUCAUGCCUUUUAAAAAGUGCAUUGUGUUGAAUAAAAAAGUUGUUAAAUUGUCACUGUGGUGUCCGCAUUUCCAG